rnacentral:lncRNA from 1 species
GAUGAUGGUGAUGAUGAGGAUGGUUCCGGUUCUGAGGCCGGUAGUGAAGAGAGUUAUGAGUCCUAUGAGGACUAAGUUUUAUUUUUCAUGUUAUGUUUUAUUUUAUUAUAUUUUCAGAUAUGUAGUAUUUUGGUUUUAGUUAUGUACUUUUGGGGUGUUUUGUCCCCCACGCACAUUUUUAACAUUUUGAAGUGAUGAUUGUGUUUAUGUUUUAAAUUAUUGUGUUUGGUUUGAA